CAAAAAGCCAAACAUGCCACAAUGAAAAGAAUCAAAAUGUCUGCAAAGCAUCGGGGGACUGACAGGGACCACCGGGGGAUUCCAGGUGGAUUCCAGGUAGAUUCCAGGUAGAUUCCAGAGAUGCGCAUCGCAGCAGUUGUUCCUGCAGGGCCGGCCCAAGGUAAUAUGGGGCCUUAGACAGGACCCCCCUCCCUCCGGAACCCGUCUUACUAAGAACCUCAGCAUCACUAACAUGUUUAAAU